rnacentral:rRNA from 1 species
CCCUUAGACGUUAUGGGCCGCACGCGCGCUACACUGAAGAAGGCAACGAGCUUUCCUUUACCGAAAGGUACGGGUAAUCUUUUGAAACUUCGUCGUGCUGGGGAUAGAUCCUUGCAAUUUUUGAUCUUAAACGAGGAAUGCCUAGUAAGCGCAAGUCAUCAACUUGCGUUGAUUACGUCCCUGCCCUUUGUACACACCGCCCGUCGCUACUACCGAUUGAAUGGUUUAGUGAGGCCUUCGGAUCCGCGACUCGUUUGUGGAGAAGUUGGACAAACUCAGUCAUUUAGAGGAAGUAAAAGUCGUAACA